GUUUGAUCAUGGCUCAGAAUCAACGCUGGCGGCGUGCCUCAGACAUGCAAGUCGAACGCGAAAGUCCCCUUCGGGGGACAAGUAGAGUGGCGCACGGGUGAGUAACACGUAGGUAAUCUACCUUCGGGUGGGGAAUAACAACCGGAAACGGUUGCUAAUACCGCAUAAUGCAGCGGCACCUAAUGGUGACAGUUGUUAAAGCGGGGGAUCGAAAGAUCUCGCGCCUGAAGAGGAGCCUGCGGCGGAUUAGCUAGUUGGUAGGGUAACGGCCUACCAAGGCGACGAUCCGUAGCCGGCCUGAGAGGGCGGUCGGCCACACUGACACUGACAUACGGGUCAGACUCCUACGGGAGGCAGCAGUCGGGAAUUUUGGGCAAUGGGCGAAAGCCUGACCCAGCAACGCCGCGUGAAGGAUGAAAUCCCUCGGGAUGUAAACUUCGCAAGAACGGGAAGAAUAAGUCUAUGUUAAUACCAUAGGCGAUGACGGUACCGUUUGUAAGCUCCGGCUAACUCCGUGCCAGCAGCCGCGGUAAUACGGGGGGAGCAAGCGUUGUUCGGAUUUACUGGGCGU
rnacentral:rRNA from 1 species